rnacentral:rRNA from 1 species
UUGACCUCGGAUCAGGUAGGACUACCCGCUGAACUUAAGCAUAUCAAUAAGCGGAGGAAAAGAAACCAACAGGGAUUGCCUCAGUAACGGCGAGUGAAGCGGCAACAGCUCAAAUUUGAAAUCUGGCUCCCCUGCGGGGGCCCGAGUUGUAAUUUGGAGAGGAUGUUUCUGGCGCGGCGCCUUCCGGAGUUCCUUGGAACAGGACGCCACAGAGGGUGAGAGCCCCGUACGGUCGGCCGCCAAACCUUCAAGAAACUCCUUCGACGAGUCGAGUAGUUUGGGAAUGCUGCUCAAAAUGGGAGGUAAAUUUCUUCUAAAGCUAAAUACCGGCCAGAGACCGAUAGCGCACAAGUAGAGUGAUCGAAAGAUGAAAAGCACCUUGAAAAGAGGGUUAAACAGUACGUGAAAUUGUUGAAAGGGAAGCGCCUGCGACCAGACUCGCGCCCCGCGGACCAGCCGGCGUUCUCGCCGGUGCACUCCGCGGGGUGCGGGCCAGCAUCGGUUUUCCCUGGGGGAGAAAGGCCGCGGGAACGUAGCUCUUUCGGGAGUGUUAUAGCCCGUGGCGCCAUGCCCCAGGGGGGACCGAGGACCGCGCUUCGGCAAGGAUGCUGGCGUAAUGGUCGUCGGCGACCCGUCUUGAAACACGGACCAAGGAGUCAAGCAUUGGGGCGAGUGUCUGGGUGCCAAACCCGCACGCGAAAUGAAAGUGAACGUAGGUGAGAGCUUCGGCGCAUCACCGACCGAUCCUGAUGUCUUCGGAUGGAUUUGAGUAAGAGCCCCACCGCUUGGACCCGAAAGAUGGUGAACUAUGCCUGUAUAGGGUGAAGCCAGAGGAACUCUGGUGGAGGCUCGCAGCGGUUCUGACGUGCAAAUCGAUCGUCAAAUAUGGGCAUGGGGGCGAAAGACUAAUCGAACCAUCUAGUAGCUGGUUACCGCCG